rnacentral:rRNA from 1 species
AGAGUUUGAUCCUGGCUCAGAUUGAACGCUGGCGGCAUGCCUUACACAUGCAAGUCGAACGGCAGCACGGGAGCUUGCUCCUGGUGGCGAGUGGCGAACGGGUGAGUAAUAUAUCGGAACGUACCCUAGAGUGGGGGAUAACGUAGCGAAAGUUACGCUAAUACCGCAUACGAUCUACGGAUGAAAGUGGGGGAUCGCAAGACCUCAUGCUCAUGGAGCGGCCGAUAUCUGAUUAGCUAGUUGGUGGGGUAAAAGCUCACCAAGGCGACGAUCAGUAGCUGGUCUGAGAGGACGACCAGCCACACUGGAACUGAGACACGGUGCAGACUCCUACGGGAGGCAGCAGUGGGGAAUUUUGGACAAUGGGCGCAAGCCUGAUCCAGCAAUGCCGCGUGAGUGAAGAAGGCCUUCGGGUUGUAAAGCUCUUUUGUCAGGGAAGAAACGGUUCGGGCUAAUACCCUGGGCCAAUGACGGUACCUGAAGAAUAAGCACCGGCUAACUACGUGCCAGCAGCCGCGGUAAUACGUAGGGUGCAAGCGUUAAUCGGAAUUAUUGGGCGUAAAGCGUGCGCAGGCGGUUGUGCAAGACAGAUGUGAAAUCCCCGGGCUCAACCUGGGAAUUGCAUUUGUGACUGCACGGCUAGAGUGUGUCAGAGGGGGGUAGAAUUCCACGUGUAGCAGUGAAAUGCGUAGAGAUGUGGAGGAAUACCGAUGGCGAAGGCAGCCCCCUGGGAUAACACUGACGCUCAUGCACGAAAGCGUGGGGAGCAAACAGGAUUAGAUACCCUGGUAGUCCACGCCCUAAACGAUGUCUACUAGUUGUCGGGUCUUAAUUGACUUGGUAACGCAGCUAACGCGUGAAGUAGACCGCCUGGGGAGUACGGUCGCAAGAUUAAAACUCAAAGGAAUUGACGGGGACCCGCACAAGCGGUGGAUGAUGUGGAUUAAUUCGAUGCAACGCGAAAAACCUUACCUACCCUUGACAUGUCUGGAAUCCUUGAGAGAUCAGGGAGUGCUCGAAAGAGAAUCAGAACACAGGUGCUGCAUGGCUGUCGUCAGCUCGUGUCGUGAGAUGUUGGGUUAAGUCCCGCAACGAGCGCAACCCUUGUCAUUAGUUGCUACGAAAGGGCACUCUAAUGAGACUGCCGGUGACAAACCGGAGGAAGGUGGGGAUGACGUCAAGUCCUCAUGGCCCUUAUGGGUAGGGCUUCACACGUCAUACAAUGGUACAUACAGAGGGCCGCCAACCCGCGAGGGGGAGCUAAUCCCAGAAAGUGUAUCGUAGUCCGGAUUGUAGUCUGCAACUCGACUACAUGAAGUUGGAAUCGCUAGUAAUCGCGGAUCAGCAUGUCGCGGUGAAUACGUUCCCGGGUCUUGUACACACCGCCCGUCACACCAUGGGAGCGGGUUUCACCAGAAGUGGGUAGCCUAACCGCAAGGAGGGCGCUCACCACGGUGGGAUUCGUGACUGGGGUGAAGUCGUAACAAGGUA